rnacentral:lncRNA from 1 species
GGAUACUGAAAAAAAAUUGUAGCGAAGAUUGAUUUAAAAAUUCGAUUGUGUCUAAAUUUUGGUUAGAAAAGUCACAUCUUCCAAUCGUCUACUUCAUAAUACCUUAAUACAGAUUAACGAUUUAUCACCGGAAAUUUUAAAGCAAGAGAAACACGAUGGUAGUCACUAAUGGAUAAAGAACUGUUGAUCCUUUGUGAACAUAUUAAUCCAACUCUGAUUUUCCAAAAUGCACAAUUUUUCAUUCCUUCCUUGGUAGACUUUUUAAGGUGUCAGAGGUUUGAUAUUUUGAAAUUAAUAAUUAUUAAUAAUGCAAAAUAAAUAUAUUUACUAAGGAAAUGUAUAUAAAAACACAUUGAUGGAUAUGAUUUUGAGUUUAGAAAGACAAACAAAUCCAGCAGGGUUAUGUGGGAAAAUUAAACUCUUAUAAUAUCAUAGUUGAGUCACUUUGGAGAUGAAAAAUUAUCCUUACCACCCAAACCUCCACCUCCCAUUUUGCUCCUGUCAGUUGACAUGAUCACCCCUUUCUAUUAUCACAUUACCUCUCCACAUACUUAUCUGACUGGUGGUUUUAUUUAAUCUAGUCUCGAAAAAAAAACAUGUAAUAUUACAUGUUAACCGAA